rnacentral:rRNA from 1 species
GACGAACGCUGGCGGCGUGCCUAAUACAUGCAAGUAGAACGCUGAAGGAGGAGCUUGCUCUUCUGGAUGAGUUGCGAACGGGUGAGUAACGCGUAGGUAACCUGCCUGGUAGCGGGGGAUAACUAUUGGAAACGAUAGCUAAUACCGCAUAAGAGUAGAUGUUGCAUGACAUUUACUUAAAAGGUGCAAUUGCAUCACUACCAGAUGGACCUGCGUUGUAUUAUCUAGUUGGUGGGGUAACGGCUUACCAAGGCGACGAUACAUAGCCGACCUGAGAGGGUGAUCGGCCACACUGGGACUGAGACACGGCCCAGACUCCUACGGGAGGCAGAAGUAGGGAAUCUUCGGGAAUGGACGGAAGUCUGACCGAGCAACGCCGCGUGAGUGAAGAAGGUUGUCGGAUCGUAAAGCUCUGUUGUAAGAGAAGAACGAGUGUGAGAGUGGAAAGUUCACACUGUGACGGUAUCUUACCAGAAAGGGACGGCUAACUACGUG